AACUUUCAACAACGGAUCUCUUGGUUCUGGCAUCGAUGAAGAACGCAGCGAAAUGCGAUAAGUAAUGUGAAUUGCAGAAUUCAGUGAAUCAUCGAAUCUUUGAACGCACAUUGCGCCCUCUGGUAUUCCGGAGGGCAUGCCUGUUCGAGCGUCAUA
rnacentral:rRNA from 1 species